rnacentral:rRNA from 1 species
AACGAACGCUGGCGGCAGGCCUAACACAUGCAAGUCGAGCGAGGACUUCGGUCCUAGCGGCGGACGGGUGAGUAACGCGUGGGAACGUGCCCUUUGCUACGGAAUAGCCCCGGGAAACUGGGAGUAAUACCGUAUGUGCCCGAGAGGGGAAAGAUUUAUCGGCAAAGGAUCGGCCCGCGUUGGAUUAGGUAGUUGGUGGGGUAAUGGCCUACCAAGCCGACGAUCCAUAGCUGGUUUGAGAGGAUGAUCAGCCACACUGGGACUGAGACGCGGCCCAGACUCCUACGGGAGGCAGCAGUGGGGAAUCUUAGACAAUGGGGGAAACCCUGAUCUAGCCAUGCCGCGUGAGCGAUGAAGGCCUUAGGGUUGUAAAGCUCUUUCAGUGGGGAAGAUAAUGACGGUACCCACAGAAGAAGCCCCGGCUAACUCCGUGCCAGCAGCCGCAGUAAGAC